ACUUUUAUCAGAUUUCAAAGAUUAUUUUUCAGGAUUGUUAAGACUUUGUAGUGAUCUUAUGAAAUGAAUUUUCUGUUUUGGGAAGGUAUGUGCUAGAUUCUGCAGCUUUAGCAUUAGCAUUAGCAUUGCAAAAAGACAACUAUUUUACAAGAGACUUCAGCUUAAACAGUGUGAAACUGUACACCAAAGCCCUUAUAUUUAAAGGUAAAUGAAACUUGUAUAUAUCUCCACACUGGGUUGGACAAGUGUAGACUAUAUAUGUGUGUGUUAAACCUGAAUCACCUUACUGAGUAGAAAACCAUCUGGGAGAAGCUGCUGUUGUCUCUUUGUAGGUCCAGGUCGAGGCUAACAGUCGACUUUACUGGAUAUUUUAUUGUCAAGACGUUGCUGACAGGUCUGCAGAGAUCAGAUGGAGACACAGCAGUGCAGCUAAACCAAACAUUUCCUAGCGAAGGAUUUCCACCAGGGAAUUCAGGCCCCGCGGCAGCUGCAGAAACUAGAGCCCUGUACCUGUGGAUGUACUGGAGACCAGUCCAAGAGAAACGGGUUCGGGCUCUUCAGACAGGGGCCCUACAAAGAGGCCCAUCACUGGAGGAGGGGUGGAGCGUGCCAGCGAGAGGGCCGUGGUAGCCGUGGGGACGGCAGAAAUGACAGCUGCAGGUGUCGACAUGGGCCGGGGGGGGAGCAGAGGGCCCAACAGCAACUGUUAGCCUAAUGCCAGGAGGAUAAAUAAUAAAACAACUGUUAGAUAAGAACUCCCAUUCAAGAAAAAAAAGAGAAAGAGGAGGGAGACUUAAAUGCAUAACUUGUGGCAGAGCUCUAAAUCUACAAACUUUGGCACGGGAGAUUAUGUCCAGGGCUUUAAUUAAACAGAUGCUGCGAUGAAUAUUUCAACUUUUGAGAAACAGGA
ensembl:lncRNA